GAUUCCGUAGCCUAGUGGUUAGCGCAUUUGACUCAUAAGCAAGCGUUCCGGGUUCAAUCGCCGGUCGAGUCU
rfam:Nematostella vectensis strain CH2 x CH6 NEMVEscaffold_7751_Cont53628, whole genome shotgun sequence.